UACGAAGGGGGCUAGCGUUGCUCGGAAUCACUGGGCGUAAAGCGCACGUAGGCGGAUUUCUAAGUCAGGGGUGAAAUCCUGGAGCUCAACUCCAGAACUGCCUUUGAUACUGGGAAUCUCGAGUCCGGGAGAGGUGAGUGGAACUGCGAGUGUAGAGGUGAAAUUCGUAGAUAUUCGCAAAGAACACCAGUGGCGAAGGCGGCUCACUGGCCCGGUACUGACGCUGAGGUGCGGAAA
rnacentral:rRNA from 1 species